UACGGGGGGGGCAAGCGUUGUUCGGAAUUACUGGGCGUAAAGGGCUCGUAGGUGGCCAACUAAGUCGGACGUGAAAUCCCUCGGCUUAACCGGGGAACUGCGUCCGAUACUGGAUGGCUUGAGUUUGGGAGAGGGAUGCGGAAUUCCAGGUGUAGCGGUGAAAUGCGUAGAUAUCUGGAGGAACACCGGUGGCGAAGGCGGCAUCCUGGACCAACACUGACGCUCAUGCACGAAAGCGUGGGGAGCAAACAGG
rnacentral:rRNA from 1 species